rnacentral:rRNA from 1 species
CUUUCAGCAGGGAAGAAGCGCAAGUGACGGUACCUGCAGAAGAAGCGCCGGCUAACUACGUGCCAGCAGCCGCGGUAAUACGUAGGGCGCAAGCGUUGUCCGGAAUUAUUGGGCGUAAAGAGCUCGUAGGCGGUUUGUCGCGUCUGCUGUGAAAACUCGAGGCUCAACCUCGGGCUUGCAGUGGGUACGGGCAGACUAGAGUGCGGUAGGGGAGACUGGAAUUCCUGGUGUAGCGGUGGAAUGCGCAGAUAUCAGGAGGAACACCGAUGGCGAAGGCAGGUCUCUGGGCCGCAACUGACGCUGAGGAGCGAAAGCAUGGGGAGCGAACAGGAUUAGAUACCCUGGUAGUCCAUGCCGUAAACGUUGGGCACUAGGUGUGGGGCUCAUUCCACGAGUUCCGUGCCGCAGCAAACGCAUUAAGUGCCCCGCCUGGGGAGUACGGCCGCAAGGCUAAAACUCAAAGAAAUUGACGGGGGCCCGCACAAGCGGCGGAGCAUGCGGAUUAAUUCGAUGCAACGCGAAGAACCUUACCAAGGCUUGACAUACACCGGAAACUUCCAGAGAUGGUUGCCCCCGCAAGGUCNGUGUACAGGUGGUGCAUGGUUGUCGUCAGCUCGUGUCGUGAGAUGUUGGGUUAAGUCCCCGCANCGAGCGCAACCCUCGUNCCUAUGUUGCCAGCACGUGAUGGUGGGGACUCAUAGGANACUGNCCGGGNUCAACUCGGA